AUGAACCACUUCGGUGGGGAUUAGUGGCGAACGGGUGAGUAACACGUGGGCAAUCUGCCCUGCACUCUGGGACAAGCCCUGGAAACGGGGUCUAAUACCGGAUACUGAACCUUACAGGCAUCUGUGAGGGUCGAAAGCUCCGGCGGUGCAGGAUGAGCCCGCGGCCUAUCAGCUAGUUGGUGAGGUAAUGGCUCACCAAGGCGACGACGGGUAGCCGGCCUGAGAGGGCGACCGGCCACACUGGGACUGAGACACGGCCCACACUCCUACGGGAGGCAGCAGUGGGGAAUAUUGCACAAUGGGCGAAAGCCUGAUGCAGCGACGCCGCGUGAGGGAUGACGGCCUUCGGGUUGUAAACCUCUUUCAGCAGGGAAGAAGCGAAAGUGACGGUACCUGCAGAAGAAGCGCCGGCUAACUACGUGCCAGCAGCCGCGGUAAUACGUAGGGCGCAAGCGUUGUCCGGAAUUAUUGGGCGUAAAGAGCUCGUAGGCGGCUUGUCACGUCGGUUGUGAAAGCCCGGGGCUUAACCCCGGGUCUGCAGUCGAUACGGGCAGGCUAGAGUUCGGUAGGGGAGAUCGGAAUUCCUGGUGUAGCGGUGAAAUGCGCAGAUAUCAGGAGGAACACCGGUGGCGAAGGCGGAUCUCUGGGCCGAUACUGACGCUGAGGAGCGAAAGCGUGGGGAGCGAACAGGAUUAGAUACCCUGGUAUUCCACGCCGUAAACGGUGGGCACUACGUG
rnacentral:rRNA from 1 species